CUCGAAAUUAAAAGAGUUAAUUUUAAAUUAUUUUUUAUGUUGAAUAAUGAUUAUAAAUUUAAAGUUAGGAGUGAAAUGUUAUUCGAUUUUAUUGAUAUCUAGUUUUUUUUGAAAUGAAUUUAAUUCAUAUAUUUAAUCUUUUAAUAAAAUUAAUUUUUACUUUUGUUAAAUAUAUAAAAUUUAUGGGAUAACCUAUAGAUUUAAUUUACUAUAUAAUUUGCUUGAAUUUAGAAUUGUGAUAUUAAAAUUUUAUUCCAUUUGAGAUAAUUUAAUAAUUUAUUUAUUGUUAAAUAAAAAUUUUUUAUUUUAUGUAAUUAUUUAAAAUAAAUUAUACAUAAACUAUUUUUGUAUAGGUAUAAUGAUAAUAUUAGUAUUUAUUUAUGUAAAUAUAAUUUUAAGAUAAAAUUAAGUUAAAGGAACUCGGCAAAUUUAAAAUAUUCACCUGUUUAUCAAAAACAUGUCUUUUUGCUUAUAAUUUAAAGUCUGCUCUGCCCACUGAAUUAUUUAAAUGGCUGCAGUAUAUUAACUGUACAAAGGUAGCAUAAUAAUUAGUCUUUUUAUUGAAGGCUUGUAUGAAUGAGUUGAUGAAAUAUUUACUGUCUCUAAUUUAUAGAAUUAAUUUAAAUUUUAAGUAAAAAUGCUUAAAUUUUGUUAUGGGACGAGAAGACCCUAUAGAAUUUUAUAGGUUAUAUUUAAGUUACUUGAUUAUAAACUAUUUUGUUGGGAGGAUAUUUAAAUUUAUUUAACUUUAAAAAAUUUAUCCAAUUAUUUUUGUUUAAAAAGAUAGUUUAUUAUAAAUUGUUAGAUUAAAUUACCUUAGGGAUAACAGCGUAAUAUCUUUGGAGAGAUCAUAUUUAUAAAGAUGAUUGCGACCUCGAUGUUGAAUUAAGGUAUAAUUUAAAUGCAGGAGUUUAAAUUUUAAGUCUGUUCGACUUUUAAUAUCUUACAUGAUUUGAGUUCAGAUCGGUGUGAGCCAGAUCGGUUUCUAUCUAUAAUUAAUAUAAUAAAUUUUUGUACGAAAGGACUUAAUUUA
rnacentral:rRNA from 1 species